rnacentral:rRNA from 1 species
ACGUAGGGUGCGAGCGUUAAUCGGAAUUACUGGGCGUAUAGCGUGCGCAGGCGGUUCGCUAAGACAGGUGUGAAAUCCCCGGGCUUAACCUGGGAAUUGCGCUUGUGACUGUUAGGCUAGAGUAGGGCAGAGGGGGGUGGAAUUUCAGGUGUAGCAGUGAAAUGCGUAGAGAUGUGGAGGAACACCGAUGGCGAAGGCAGCCCCCUGGGACGAUACUGACGCUGAUGCUCGAAAGCGUGGGUAGCAAACAG